rnacentral:rRNA from 1 species
GACGAACCGUCCAAACGUUAUUCGGAAUCACUGGGCUUAAAGGGUGCGUAGGCUGUCCGGUAAGUUGGGUGUGAAAGCCCUCGGCUCAACCGAGGAAUUGCGCCCAAAACUGCCGGGCUCGAGGGAGAUAGAGGUGAGCGGAACUAAGGGUGGAGCGGUGAAAUGCAUUGAGAUCCUUAGGAACACCAGUAGCGAAAGCGGCUCACUGGGUCUCUGCUGACGCUGAGGCACGAAAGAUAGGGGAGCGAACGGG